rnacentral:lncRNA from 12 species
GUAAGUGGGAAGGGGCCAGAGCUGUGGGGUCUUUUACAGAUAGAUAGCUGGGGCUCAGAGGAAGCCUGCCUGAGAAGUUGAACACUGCCCAUAUCAGUGGUCCACACAACACUUCUGUAAAAAAAAAAAAAAAAAAAAAAAGGAAUGGGGAUGGGACUCUUUCCUCAAAAUACUCUCUGUCAGAAAAUUAUGAUUGUAUACAAAUUUUGUUAAAACAAGAGUCUUCACUGCCAUCUGCUGAAAAAUUGUUGUAACAAAUAUGUGCGUUUGUGAUGUCAACAAUGAGUAUGGUGCCUGUUUGGUCAUGCUGCCCAACCUGCCCAACUAUGAACAGCAACCACUGUUCUUCCCUUGAAGUGCGAGGAGAGCCUCUGUGCUGGGCCUGUAGCAGUGGGCAGCGCCUUGAUGCAAAGGAAUUCACUCUUCCCAGGGGCUCUGCAGAUUGUAGAAGUGUCCAACUCCAGAAAACAUCUGUCCCACCAGCCCAGGCCACGGAGCAAAAUGGGCAGGAAGAAAGUACAGCUGAAAGCCAGAUCCAGCUCUGAGGCUACAAAGGCUUAAAACAGAAGGGCCAAAGGAACUGAGAAGGGGGCAGAAAGAACAGGGAAGCAGUUCAGAAAUUCUGGGAGCAGCCUAUAUGACACCAGCUUAGGCACUGGCCCUGCUGAUUUGCCUGGCUAGACUACAGCGGUAUUUCCUGGGGGAACGUCUGCCCCAUCCAAGACACCACCUCCUAA